rnacentral:rRNA from 1 species
UACAGAGGGGGCAAGCGUUGCUCGGAAUCACUGGGCGUAAAGGGCGCGUAGGCGGGAUGGCAAGUCAGUCGUGAAAUCUCUCGGCUCAACCGAGAAACGUCGGCUGAUACUGCCGUUCUUGAGGGAUGCAGAGGAGACUGGAAUUCCCGGUGUAGCGGUGAAAUGUGUAGAGAUCGGGAGGAACACCGGUGGCGAAGGCGGCAUCCUGGACCGACACUGACGCUGAGGCGCGAAAGCUAGGGGAGCAAACGGG